CCGGCACGGGUGAGUAACACGUAUGCAAUCCACCUGUAACAGGGGAUAACCCGGAGAAAUCCGACUAAUACCCAUAAUAUGGGCGCUCCGCAUGGAGAGCCCAUUAAAGAGAGCAAUUUUGGUUACAGACGAGCAUGCGCUCCAUUAGCCAGUUGGCGGGGUAACGGCCCACCAAGACUACGAUGGAUAGGGGUUCUGAGAGGAAGGUCCCCCACAUUGGAACUGAGACACGGUCCAA
rnacentral:rRNA from 1 species